rnacentral:rRNA from 1 species
UGCGUAGGCGGUGCAGAAAGUCGGGUGUGAAAUCCCUCGGCUCAACCGAGGAAUUGCGCCCGAAACUACUGUGCUUGAGGAAGAUAGAGGUACGCGGAACUUAGGGUGGAGCGGUGAAAUGCGUUGAUAUCCUAAGGAACACCGGUGGCGUAAGCGGCGUACUGGGUCUUUUCUGACGCUGAGGCACGAAAGCUAGGGUAGCGAAC